CACCACUUUAAAUCCGCCUUGGUGAGCUACGGUCAAACAACUGGACAAAGAUGUGGAUCGUUUAUUUUUCGGGGCUUGUGCUAGCGUAAGCUAUCGUGGCCAAAGAACGUAAUCGGAAGAGGUGACGAGACGAAUGCGUUCUUCGUGGUUAGGAAAAGAAUUGCCAGUGGCAUCUAGUUGUGUGAGGCGCUGACGACAAGAGAUAGAAGCAGACGCCAAAGAAGUCUCACCCCAAGAUGAGUUCAUGGGUCACUCACGAAAUACCGCAAAAACAAUGUGGUGAAGAAUUUAGUCUAUGGACACACGAACAGUACACGGUGCGAUUGGACGAAUAAUAAUGUUGGCUGCUGCACAAAGAGAAAGGCCGGAGUAAGGCAAUUCUUGUGUUUUAUAGAGUCCCGAACAGUCACAUGGUAAUAAUCGCCAAGCGUCUUGUAACAUGGAGCCACCUCAGAAUUGCACCAAACAAAGAUGAUGGAUGCAGCCAGUCUUGCCAGAUAACUAUAUUUUGACUAUUCUGUAUUGUUUGCAUUUAUUGUGCAAAAGGAAUUCUCGCAGAGAGUUUUAUCUUCAGUGGCCUUCAGUUGACGUCAUCUGCUACAACUAGCACAUAAGUUAACUCCAUAGCACCACUAGGAUGGAGACAUUGUGUCGUGGGAUGCUUCCUUAAAAGUGGACAAGAAGAUUCUAAAGGAAAAGUGUGAGAUGGUCACAGUAAUAACCAAGGCAUUUGGCAUGGGAAUGACCCAGCUAUGAAGGAAGCCAUCAUCUGGUGCUGUGUACAGCAAGCACAUGCUUCGGGCAAGGAGGGAGCCAGCACCAUAUCUACAUCAGCAAGAACCUCGGUGCUCAAAAUAAACAUUUUCUGUGCAAA